ACUUGAAUAGCUUAUUUUUAGAGCGCGACGCUGAAGAUGUCGAUGAGGCUGCUAUGGCCUUUGAGUA
rnacentral:tRNA from 1 species